CUUGUUGGGGUUGUAGGACUCCAAUAUGGUAGUCUGUUAGUAUAGUUGAAGGAUUUGGAAAAUUCCGCUAAAGAGGGUGAAAGCCCCGUAGACGAAAUGCUAACAACACCUAGGAGGAUCCUGAGUACGGCGGAACACGAGAAAUUCCGUCGGAAUCCGCGGGGACCAUCCCGCAAGGCUAAAUACUCCCUAGUGACCGAUAGUGAACCAGUACCGUGAGGGAAAGGUGAAAAGCACCCCGGAAGGGGAGUGAAAUAGAUCCUGAAACCGUGUGCCUACAACAAGUCAAAGCUCGUUAAUGAGUGAUGGCGUGCCUUUUGUAGAAUGAACCGGCGAGUUACGAUUGCAUGCGAGGUUAAGUCGAAGAGACGGAGCCGCAGCGAAAGCGAGUCUGAAUAGGGCGAAUGAGUAUGUAGUCGUAGACCCGAAACCAUGUGAUCUACCCAUGUCCAGGUUGAAGGUGCGGUAAAACGCACUGGAGGACCGAACCCACGUACGUUGAAAAGUGCGGGGAUGAGGUGUGGGUAGCGGAGAAAUUCCAAACGAACUUGGAGAUAGCUGGUUCUCUCCGAAAUAGCUUUAGGGCUAGCCUCGGAAUUGAGAAUGAUGGAGGUAGAGCACUGUUUGGACUAGGGGCCCAUCUCGGGUUACCGAAUUCAGAUAAACUCCGAAUGCCAUUCAUUUAUAUCCGGGAGUCAGACUGCGAGUGAUAAGAUCCGUAGUCGAAAGGGAAACAGCCCAGACCACCAGCUAAGGUCCCAAAAUAUAUGUUAAGUGGAAAAGGAUGUGGGGUUGCACAGACAACUAGGAUGUUGGCUUAGAAGCAGCCACCAUUUAAAGAGUGCGUAAUAGCUCACUAGUCGAGUGACCCUGCGCCGAAAAUGUACCGGGGCUAAACAUAUUACCGAAGCUGUGGACUACACCAUUAGGUGUAGUGGUAGGAGAGCGUUCUAAGGGCGUUGAAGGUCGAUCGUGAGGACGGCUGGAGCGCUUAGAAGUGAGAAUGCCGGUAUGAGUAGCGAAAGACAGGUGAGAAUCCUGUCCACCGUAUGACUAAGGUUUCCUGGGGAAGGCUCGUCCGCCCAGGGUUAGUCGGGACCUAAGCCGAGGCCGAUAGGCGUAGGCGAUGGACAACAGGUUGAUAUUCCUGUACCAGUUGUUUUUGUUUGAGCAAUGGAGGGACGCAGUAGGCUAAGGAAUGCAUGCGAUUGGAAGUGCAUGUCCAAGCAAUGAGUCUUGAGUAGAGUUAAAUGCUUUACUCUCUAAGGACAAGUUGUGACGGGGAGCGAAAUAAUAGUAGCGAAGUUCCUGAUGUCACACUGCCAAGAAAAGCUUCUAGUGAGAAAACAACUGCCCGUACCGUAAACCGACACAGGUAGUCGAGGAGAGUAUCCUAAGGUGAGCGAGCGAACUCUCGUUAAGGAACUCGGCAAAAUGACCCCGUAACUUCGGGAGAAGGGGUGCUGACUUCGGUCAGCCGCAGUGAAUAGGCCCAAGCGACUGUUUAUCAAAAACACAGGUCUCUGCAAAAUCGUAAGAUGAAGUAUAGGGGCUGACGCCUGCCCGGUGCUGGAAGGUUAAGAGGAUGGGUUAGCUUCGGCGAAGCUCAGAAUUGAAGCCCCAGUAAACGGCGGCCGUAACUAUAACGGUCCUAAGGUAGCGAAAUUCCUUGUCGGGUAAGUUCCGACCCGCACGAAAGGCGUAACGAUUUGGGCACUGUCUCAACGAGAGACUCGGUGAAAUUUUAGUACCUGUGAAGAUGCAGGUUACCCGCGACAGGACGGAAAGACCCCAUGGAGCUUUACUGUAGUUUGAUAUUGAGUGUUUGUACCACAUGUACAGGAUAGGUAGGAGCCGAUGAGACCGGAACGCUAGUUUCGGAGGAGGCGCUGGUGGGAUACUACCCUUGUGUUAUGAACCCUCUAACCCGCACCACUAAUCGUGGUGGGAGACAGUGUCAGAUGGGCAGUUUGACUGGGGCGGUCGCCUCCUAAAAGGUAACGGAGGCGCCCAAAGGUUCCCUCAGAAUGGUUGGAAAUCAUUCGAAGAGUGUAAAGGCAGAAGGGAGCUUGACUGCGAGACCUACAAGUCGAGCAGGGACGAAAGUCGGGCUUAGUGAUCCGGUGGUUCCGCAUGGAAGGGCCAUCGCUCAACGGAUAAAAGCUACCCUGGGGAUAACAGGCUUAUCUCCCCCAAGAGUCCACAUCGACGGGGAGGUUUGGCACCUCGAUGUCGGCUCG
rnacentral:rRNA from 1 species